UUUAAACCGAAAAAAUAUUGACUGACUUUAGAUUUUUCUUUGGAAUAUGUGUUUUUGGAGAGCCCUCUUUUUUGGUAAAUUUUAUUGGCACAUGUAUGAUUGUUUAGUUUUUA
rnacentral:rRNA from 1 species